rnacentral:lncRNA from 1 species
GUUGACAGUCUUUUAAGUUGUGCUUAUUAAUGUGAGUAAUCAUUUAUCCAUGCAUAACCAAGUACUUAUUGAAGUCAACACCUGUGCAAUUAAGUAAAACAGUCACUGAAAAAUUAGAAUUUGAACUUGCUGUCAGUUCAUUAAUAACGAUUGUUAGUGAUGUGAUUUGUUCUUCCAUAAGAAAAAGCCUUUCUCAUGUAGCACAUCCUCUAUAUAUACCGAUCAAUUUUACCCAAGAUUGUCUCUGAUGCUUACCAAACUGCCAAACUCCAGAACUAACUAGAUAUUGUGACACCUUACAAUUCAGACACAGUGGGGCCAAGGGAUAUGAAUUAUAGAGUUUAGCUCUGAACUCAAUUUAGGGGAUGCCAUAUCUGCUGCAGGAAAAUUGAAGUCUAUAUUAAGAUUUUCAGAAUUACACCAAGGUGUGUCUGAAAAUAUCAAGGAUACAUUAAAAGAAGAACAAUUACUUCACCCUGCCACCAGUGCUCUUAUGAGCUAUGUCCUCGUUUUGGUAUUUCUAUGGAAAUGAUGCCCGCAUAGCUUGUUAAUAGAUAUAGGAAGAUGUGGUAUGAGUGCCAA